UCGGAGCAAUAGGAUGCAGCAGCAGUAGCAGCAGUGAAAUCAGAGUCCGCCGAAGAAUCAGCUUCAUCAGCGGGUUAAAUUUCUAGAAAGGAGUUUGUCCCCAGUGCUUGAACUAUUUAAAAAGCAUAUAAACUCAAGUUAAGUGAAUGGAAAACCAAAAUAAAAACAGUUUUAAGUGACUCGAGGGAAUCCACUAACCAAGAGAAAAGUGUGAAAAGUUGGGGGAAUUAUUUUGGGCUCUGCAAGGACCCUUGGAUUACCUUGCGGGGCGAGCGGAAUCGGGAGAUAUAAUUUCGCCGGCGGAUGCAUUGGAGCGACCGAAAGGAAUCGAAGGAGGCUGCCGCAAGGAGAUAUUGCAGCUGCAACAUUGCGGCCAAAGGAGGAGAUUAAAGCGGGUUUUUUCCCUUGGGCAGUGCAUAUUUUUUGAAGCCAACAAAGAAGCAGCGACUGAAGCGGCGAUGCUGCCGCAGAAAAUGGCCGCAGCGACAACAGCAACAUCCACGAGUGCAGCGGCGAUAACAAUAGCAACAGUAACA